CGCACUGUAAUUCAAUGGUAGAAUAGUUGUCUGUAAGAACAAUCGGUUGUAGGUUCGAAUCCUUCCAAUGCAC
rnacentral:tRNA from 1 species